AACGAACGCUGGCGGCAUGCCUAAUACAUGCAAGUCGUACGAUCACUUCGGCGGUAGUGGCGCACGGGUGCGUAACGCGUGGGCAUCUGCCCUUGGGUUCGGAAUAACAUCGGGAAACUGAUGCUAAUACCGGAUGAUGACGUAAGUCCAAAGAUUUAUCGCCCAGGGAUGAGCCCGCGUAGGAUUAGCUAGUUGGUGGGGUAAAGGCCUACCAAGGCGACGAUCCUUAGCUGGUCUGAGAGGAUGAUCAGCCACACUGGGACUGAGACACGGCCCAGACUCCUACGGGAGGCAGCAGUAGGGAAUAUUGGACAAUGGGGGCAACCCUGAUCCAGCAAUGCCGCGUGAGUGAUGAAGGCCUUAGGGUUGUAAAGCUCUUUUACCCGGGAUGAUAAUGACAGUACCGGGAGAAUAAGCCCCGGCUAACUCCGUGCCAGCAGCCGCGGUAA
rnacentral:rRNA from 1 species